UACGACCGUAUUACGAUAAAACACCGGUUCUCGUACGAUCACCGAAGUUAUGCAACAUCGGGCCUGGUAAGUACCCUAAUAGGUGACCGCUCG